CAACAGAAAACCCUCCAAAUCCCCUCAAGUACAGGAUCGAGACUUUAGAACUAAACAUUUUAAUGAAANNNNNNNNNNNNNNNNNNNNNNNNNNNNNNNNGAGAGAAUAGUUCUGCAGUUUGCAUUCUUGAAAAGGAGAAGUCGCACAACGAAAGGUGUGGGGACCAAUUCUGUAUUAGUUUUGUUUUUUUGAGCAUUGAAACCUGAUACAUUGUUGAGUUUGAUGACUAAAUACUGAUUCUUAUUUUAUGUUCCAUUAUUGCAAACAAAAUUUGAUUUAGUAAUUUCAAUUGUCACUUUUAUACACCUCUUCCAAUGUUGGGAUUUUGCUUAUUAAAAAUAUCUAGUUGGGGUUUCAUCAGAAUUUAAGAUUUUGCUUUAAAAAAAUUGCAAUUCAUCAGGUACAAAAUUGAAUAAACUGUCUCUGAUGGAAAUGUAAAAUCAUCCCUCUUAUGUGAAAAUUUCUUAAAAUCUCCCUGAUGGGCUACAAUGAAUUCAUUCCUGCCUCCUGCCACUAUUAUAACUAUCUUUUGUUUUGCACUCUGCAAUUUUAUAUUCCUAAUUUUUGACAAUUUGUGAUUUAGUGAAAUUUGCUGUCCUCGUAGUAAUUAUGAUUGUACUUUAAUCUUGAGAUUAUGUUUAAGGACUGUGUAUCGAGGAGUUCAUUUUCGCAUAAGGCUAUGGUUAUUAAAAUGUUCUUAAGAGUGGUUUGCAGCAUUUUAAUAAUCUUUUUUUUUUCCCCUUAUAUUUCUUUUGUGGUUUGAGGAAUUUCAUACAGAUAUAUUUUGCAGGAAUUGAGCUUUUGGCUCACUAAUAAUCUUUUUGCCAGGCAGAAAUUGCAAUUUCAAGCAUAAAAAACGAAUUGUAUUCUCUUUAGGCUUUAAGUUUGAUUUCUUAUCCUUGGUUUUCUUUAUCUAUGAGUGCUCUAUGCUAGUCAUUGUUCGGAGGCUUCAUUGCUUCCAAAGCUUUCAAGCUUCAUCCUGGGAUGGAUUUUUCAUCCCGUUUCAAUUCAAAUCCGUUGAUUUCCAUAGGAGAAAAAAAAGUGGGAUUUUGAAGAAUUUUCUUGGGUAAAUAUGUGAAAUCCAUAUUAAAUCAAUCAAAUCCAAGCAGUUGCAACGAUUUUAUGCUUGGAUUUAAACCUAGAAUCCAUAUCCUCGACCAUUUUCUCAUAAAACUAAGGGAAAAAUUUACUCUCCCCCUCUAUCAAAAGGGAAAAAUAAAUUUAUUAAUAGAGAUCUUUAUGCCAUUGUCAUAUUUUUUAGUCUUAUACUUUUCUCUUUUAGAUAUUAUGAAAAAGGACAGAGGCCGUAAGCUUUAUGGGAAUCAUGUUAGAACGAGAGCUUGUGAUUCUGAUGGUGAAAGCUGUGAAAGCAAUGAUGUAAUUGAUGAGCAUGCAUUUGAUGAAGAAAAAGCAUAUAAAGCCCUUACAUGGUUCUUAUGCAAUGCCAGUGUGCCACCUUGCUCAGUUAAAGAAGAGUCUUUCAAACACUAUGUGAAGUCAGUUAACCCAUGUUUCAAUGUUGAAUAUGACACUGUUAUACAUCAGUGCUUGGAUUUUCACAAGGAAGAGAAAGUGAAAUUGAAAGAGAUUUUGAGAAGUUUCGAUGGACGAAUUAGCCUCUCAGUGGAUAUUAUGAGACACGACAAGUAUGGUGUCUGUGAUCAAGAUUCCAAUUUACCUGAUAGCCAGACAAACCUUGAUUAUCUGUGUGUAAAGGCUCAUUUUAUUGGUGAAGAUUGGAAACUGAAAAGUUAUAUUCUCAGCUUUUCACCUACCUUGGAUGGUACUCCAGAAAAUCUUCCUGAAAAUGUUAUACUGAAAUUUCUUUCUGAUUUGGAAAUUGAGGAUAAGGUAUUUACUCUCACAUCUGCAACUGCUAUAGUGAACCUUUAUGAGAAUGCUGUGAUAGUCAGAAAUAAAUUACAGGAGACAAGAAGGAUCCCACUUGAUGGUCGGUUAUUUCACUUGGGUUGUUGUGCUGACAUUUUGCGUUCUGUAGUGGCAGAGGCAUUUCAGAAAAUUGAAUAUAUUAUCCGUAAAGUUCGCCAGAUGGUCUUCUGGGGAAACUCGUCAUUACUGUGGAAUAUGACAUUACACAAGCUGCAAGAGGCACUGGAGUUGGAGGCUAAAGGACAGUAUUCAGAAACGGAUUAUUGCAAG
rnacentral:lncRNA from 1 species